rnacentral:rRNA from 1 species
UACGUAGGGGGCGAGCGUUAUCCGGAAUUAUUGGGCGUAAAGGGCACGCAGGCGGUCCUGCACGUGGAUGGUGACAGCUCCUGGCUUAACUGGGAGAGUGCCUUCCAAACGACAAGACUUGAGAGCGAGAGAGGGAUACGGAACUCCAGGUGGAGCAGUGAAAUGCGUAGAGAUCUGGAAGAACACCAAAGGCGAAGGCAGUAUCCUGGCUCGUCUCUGACGCUCAGGUGCGAAAGCUAGGGGAGCAAACAGGAUUAGAUACCCUGGUAGUCCUAGCUGUAAACCAUGACCACUAGGCGUGGGAGGUAUCGACCCCUUCCGUGCCGUAGGUAACCUGUUAAGUGGUCCGCCUGGGGAGUACGGUCGCAAGACUAAA